UGGGCACUUGGGCUUUCUCUUCUGUUUCCUGUAUCCGCUUGCCUUUGAAAACCAAAGUUCAAGUUCACCUGAAACGGACACCUUGCUGAAACUUUCAGGGAUGGUCAGAGAGCCAAUCUGUGAGUGGGACACCGAUAGAUUGGGCUCUCUAGUGCUCGGCUCAGGACCUAAAAGGGAAGGAAGAGAGAAAUUUGGACACAGACAUACAGACACAGAGAGAAGAUGGCCAUGUGAAGGUGGAGGCAGAGAAAGAAAUAAUGCUUCCACAAGCCAAGGAACACCAAGGAUUCUGGGAACCACCAGAAGACAGAAGAGACAAGGAAGGAUUCUUCCCUAGAGGCUUUAGAGAGAGAGUAUGGGCCUGCUGACACCCUGGUUUCAGAUUUCUAGCCUCCAGAACUGUGAGAGAAUAAAUUUCUGUUAUUUUAGGCCA